UACGAAGGGGGCUAGCGUUGCUCGGAAUGACUGGGCGUAAAGGGCGCGUAGGCGGAUGGCACAGUCAGAUGUGAAAUUCCUGGGCUUAACCUGGGGGCUGCAUUUGAUACGUGUGAUCUAGAGUGAGGAAGAGGGUUGUGGAAUUCCCAGUGUAGAGGUGAAAUUCGUAGAUAUUCGGAAGAACACCAGUGGCGAAGGCGACUCGCUGGACAAGUAUUGACGCUGAGGUGCGAAAGCGUGGGGAGCAAACAGG
rnacentral:rRNA from 1 species